UAGGUAGGGUGCAAGCGUUGUCCGGAAUUAUUGGGCGUAAAGAGCUCGUAGGCGGUUUGUCGCGUCUGCUGUGAAAACUCGGGGCUUAACUCCGGGCCUGCAGUGGGUACGGGCAGACUAGAGUGCGGUAGGGGAGACUGGAAUUCCUGGUGUAGCGGUGAAAUGCGCAGAUAUCAGGAGGAACACCGGUGGCGAAGGCGGGUCUCUGGGCCGUAACUGACGCUGAGGAGCGAAAGCGUGGGAGCGAACAGG
rnacentral:rRNA from 1 species